rnacentral:rRNA from 1 species
UACGUAGGCAGCGAGCGUUGUUCGGAGUUACUGGGCGUAAAGAGUGCGUAGGCGGUUUUCUAAGUUUGGUGUGAAAUCUCCCGGCUUAACUGGGAGGGUGCGCCGAAAACUGGAAGGCUUGAGUAUGGGAGAGGUAAGCGGAAUUCCUGGCGUAGCGGUGAAAUGCGUAGAUAUCAGGAGGAACACCUGCGGUGUAGACGGCUUAUUGGACCAUAACUGACGCUGAGGCACGAAAGCGUGGGUAGCAAACAGG